CGCCAGGGAACGGGUCUUGUGGCUUUGUCUCCCGCGAAGAGAUGGCGGAGUCGUUGAGGUCUCCGCGCCGCUCCCUGUACAAACUGGUGGGCUCGCCGCCUUGGAAAGAGGCUUUCCGGCAGAGAUGCCUGGAGAGAAUGAGAAACAGCCGGGACAGGCUCCUAAACAGGUACCGCCAGGCUGGAAGCAGUGGGCCAGGGAAUUCUCAGAACAGCUUUCUAGUUCAAGAGGUGAUGGAAGAAGAGUGGAAUGCUUUGCAGUCAGUGGAGAAUUGUCCAGAAGACUUGGCUCAGUUGGAGGAGCUGAUAGACAUGGCUGUGCUGGAGGAAAUUCAACAGGAGCUGAUCAACCAAGGUAACCCCUAGUAGUAGUCCUUCCUUACCUGUAUUUAGCUACUGGAAUACUGUGACCUUUCCUCCAAUCAGGAUUAGUUUAUAAGUCCCCUUUGUCUACCUCCAUCAGUCAAGUGUCCAAAAGACUCCUUUUGUACUCUGACAUCUUGGCUGUCUAGCUUCUCAAUAAUAAGGGUCUCCAGGGUGCUAGGCUUUGUGCUAAGAACUUCUCAUUUAAUGAUGCUGUUUUCUCCAUGUGACU
rnacentral:sRNA from 1 species